UACCAAUGAUGGCUCAGUCGGUAGAGCAUGGGGCUCUUAAUCUCAGGGUUGUGGGUUUGAGCCCCACAUUGGGGCUCAA